CGGGACACGUGGUAUCCUGUCUGAAUAUGGGGGGACCAUCCUCCAAGGCUAAAUACUCCUGACUGACCGAUAGUGAACCAGUACCGUGAGGGAAAGGCGAAAAGAACCCCGGCGAGGGGAGUGAAAAAGAACCUGAAACCGUGUACGUACAAGCAGUGGGAGCCUCUUUAUGGGGUGACUGCGUACCUUUUGUAUAAUGGGUCAGCGACUUAUAUUCUGUAGCAAGGUUAACCGAAUAGGGGAGCCGAAGGGAAACCGAGUCUUAACUGGGCGUUAAGUUGCAGGGUAUAGACCCGAAACCCGGUGAUCUAGCCAUGGGCAGGUUGAAGGUUGGGUAACACUAACUGGAGGACCGAACCGACUAAUGUUGAAAAAUUAGCGGAUGACUUGUGGCUGGGGGUGAAAGGCCAAUCAAACCGGGAGAUAGCUGGUUCUCCCCGAAAGCUAUUUAGGUAGCGCCUCGUGAACUCAUCUCCGGGGGUAGAGCACUGUUUCGGCAAGGGGGUCAUCCCGACUUACCAACCCGAUGCAAACUGCGAAUACCGGAGAAUGUUAUCACGGGAGACACACGGCGGGUGCUAACGUCCGUCGUGAAGAGGGAAACAACCCAGACCGCCAGCUAAGGUCCCAAAGUCAUGGUUAAGUGGGAAACGAUGUGGGAAGGCCCAGACAGCCAGGAUGUUGGCUUAGAAGCAGCCAUCAUUUAAAGAAAGCGUAAUAGCUCACUGGUCGAGUCGGCCUGCGCGGAAGAUGUAACGGGGCUAAACCAUGCACCGAAGCUGCGGCAGCGACACUAUGUGUUGUUGGGUAGGGGAGCGUUCUGUAAGCCUGCGAAGGUGUGCUGUGAGGCAUGCUGGAGGUAUCAGAAGUGCGAAUGCUGACAUAAGUAACGAUAAAGCGGGUGAAAAGCCCGCUCGCCGGAAGACCAAGGGUUCCUGUCCAACGUUAAUCGGGGCAGGGUGAGUCGACCCCUAAGGCGAGGCCGAAAGGCGUAGUCGAUGGGAAACAGGUUAAUAUUCCUGUACUUGGUGUUACUGCGAAGGGGGGACGGAGAAGGCUAUGUUGGCCGGGCGACGGUUGUCCCGGUUUAAGCGUGUAGGCUGGUUUUCCAGGCAAAUCCGGAAAAUCAAGGCUGAGGCGUGAUGACGAGGCACUACGGUGCUGAAGCAACAAAUGCCCUGCUUCCAGGAA
rnacentral:rRNA from 1 species